UUUAUUUGGCGCAGAUUCGUGCGCAUGCGGAAGAAUAAUCUCGCGUUAUGAUGGCCCAAAACGGAGUCUUAAAUUAGCGUUGUCUCCAAUUUUUUUUUAUCAUCUGUGUUGUUCUUUUACAUUUGUUUACGUGUCCCUACACUAAAGUUGAGGAAAGUUUUAAUUUACAAGCAAUUCAUGAUGUUCUCUACUACAGGUUUGAUUUUGAAAAGUGCACCAGUGAAAUGUGUCCUCACCUUCCUACACGCACCAAAGUUUUACAUUCAGAUCCUUGAACAAGCUGCUGGAUGACAAUCAGUCAGGCUUCAAAAGUGGACACUCCACCGAGACUGCACUACUGUCUGUCACUGAGUCGCUGAGACAGGUGAAAGCUGAAUCCAGAUCAUCUGUCCUGGUUCUGCUGGACCUUUCUGCAGCCUUUGACACAGUCAACCAUCAGAUCUUACUAUCUACCCUCUCCUCGCUGGGCAUCACAUGAACUGUGCUUGACUGGUUUAACUCCUAUCUCUCAGGUAGGUCCUUCAAGGUAGCCUGGAGAGAUGAGGUAUCCAAGCCACAUCAGCUACUUACUGGGGUACCUCAGGGAUCAGUGCUUGGGCCACUUCUCUUCUCUAUAUACGCAACAUCACUGGGACCCAUCAUUCAGGCACAUGGUUUCUCUUACCACUGCUACGCUGAUGACAUGCAACUCUACUUGUCUUUCCAGCCCAACGACACCACAGUGACUGCUCGAAUUUCUGCCUGCCUGGCAGACAUCUCGGCCUGGAUGAAGGAACACCACCUGCAACUCAGCCCAGCCAAGACUGAACUCCUUGUGUUCAACAGCAGGGUUGGCUGGAAAGACAACAACCAUGCAGCUGGGUGCAACUACUGUAACGCCUUCCAAAUCGGUCAGAAAUCUAGGGGUAACCAUCGACAACAGACUAAAUUUCACAGACCACAUCUCAAAGACCGCAAGAACAUGUAGAUUUACACUCUGCAAUAUCAGGAAGAUAAUACCCUUCCUCUCUGAACAUGCCACACAACUGCUUGUCCAGUCACUUGUCAUAACUAGACUGGACUACUGUAAUGCUCUCAUUGCAGGCCUCCCUGCAUGUGCAAUUAGACCCCUGCAAAUUAGCCAGAAUGCAGCAGCACGUCUGGUCUUUAAUAAAUCAAAGAGAGCACAUGUUACACCACUCCUUGUCUCUCUCCACUGGCUGCCGGUUGAUGCACGUAUCAAAUUCAAGGCUCUGAUGCUGGCAUACAGAACAGUCACUGGGUCUGCUCCAGCAUACCUAAAAUCAUUUAUGCAGAGCUACGCACCCACUAGAAGCCUGCGGUCAGCUAAGGAACGUUGCCUUGUUGUACCAACACAAAGAGGCACCAAAACACUUUCCCGGACUUCCAGCUUCAUCAUACCACGUUGAUGGAACGACCUUCCCAACUCCUUCUGUGAAGCUGACUCACGCUCUGUCUUCAAAAAACAACUAAAAACACAUCUAUUCCAAGAGCACUUAACCUGUCAUUAAAAAAAAUAAAUAAAUAAAAAAAAAAAUGGGGACCAAAUUUUCAAGCUCCAAAAAGGACAUAACAGCAUCAUAGAAGUAUAUAAUUAAUCCAUAUGACUCCAGUGCUUUAAUCAAUUCAGUUCAGCAGAGCUGAAGUGAUCCAAUCGGUUUUGGGUGAGAACAGACCAAAAGUGCGAGGAGUUCUUGACCUGUGUGUGGUUCUGGCACUGUGGCGGAUGCAGAGAGAGGUGCGAAGGCAGUUUGGGUCACUGGUGGCCAGUUUGUUUUGCUUCAUCUGCACCACACAGUUCCAUCUUAUGUUCUACAACACCAGAAUUCUCCCUAAUGUCUUCGCUCUGUCUAUAGUGAUCGAUCGAUGUAUUACAGCAAGAUCCUCCAAGUCCACCACGACCUUUGUCAGCAUUACAGACAUUCUGGACAGUUGACGCUGAGUCUCUCCCACCGCACCGUCCAAAUUGACUCCCUGGCCCCUGUCUGGGGCUUCAGCUUGAGCACCUAGGCUGGGGUCAGAGUGCAGGGUCAGCCAUGAUACGGCACUCCUGGAGCAGAUAGGGUCAAGGGCCCAACAGUGGCAUCUUGGCGGUGCUGGGGCUUGAACCCCCAACCUUCUGAUCAGUAACCCAGAGCCUUAACCGCUGAGCUACCACUCCCCCAUGCCAUACCAGCUGGCAUUUUAUCAUUGGGUCUUACUGUGAUGGUAGACACCGUAUUCUGGAAUAAGCUGCUCUGACCUGAGGUUCAGGUACUCUGGUACAACACAGAAAUGCUCAGUUUUAACAAAUAGUUUACCCAAAAAUGAAAAUUCUGUCACUUACCCUCAUGUGAUUCCAAACACAUAUGACUUCCUUUCACCGAUCUAUAAGUUGUUAUUCACUGAUAAACAUUUAAAUACAGUACCUUCAAUGCAUUGCAGGUUUGAUGUCAGUAGCUGUGUUUCCAUCCACUUAUUUUUAAACAGAGAUUGGGAAAUCACAUAAGUUUGGAUGGAAACACUAAUACAAAUACACUUUCCAAAAUGUGCAUAACUUUUAUUCAGCUAGAUAAUAUGUGCAUAAAGUAUGAUGGGAACAUGUGUGACUGCCUUAACAAGCCAUGUAAAUACAUAAUUAACUCAGAGAAAAUCAACAUCACAUAGCAUCUGAAAUGUUGCUCUGGUUAUUCUGAAACACCGGACACAAAAGCCUGGCAUCAAAAUGAUUGGCUACUAUUACCUCCCGUCUGACACGCUUUUGCUCACAGACAUAACACAUGGAAUGCUUUAUUUUUAAAUUACGCUUUAUUUGCAAAUUGUUUUGCAAUAUUCAGAUUUGUCAGAUACAUAAAAUAUGUAACUUAGACACGUGAAUAGGGACAUCAAACGAUGAAAUCAGUUACUUCAUAAUUUUGCAUCUUGUCAAAAUUUCACCUGCCAUAUUUACUAUCUUUCUUUGACUUCCUCCUUGCCUUAAACCUCCCCUUUCCUGUGGUACUUCUACUCUGUCCUACCUCGUGCUCUGGGCAGCACAAUCCUAUUUAUUCCGCCUGGUAUAAUGGACAGACGGACAAGAAAACUGUUCAUCGCAGCUGUUGGCUUCAUUCUGCUGUACUACUUUCUGCCCCACAUCGAGCGCCGCAUUAUAAUCUACACAUUCCCUGUGUUUAACAUAAUUGCUGCCUGUGGCUGUUCUUUAAUGUAAGCUGAACACAUUUUGAACACAUCACACAUGGAAAUAAGAAUUGGGGGUAAAAUGUGCUAAAGUGUACUGUAAAAAUGUCAAUGAUGUUCCAAAAUGUACGCCUAAUUUUUUAUGCUAAAUAUGAUUACGUAUAUUUUAUUGAUUUGGGGUUUAUUUUCUUGAAAGGUUUUGUGGAAAUUGGCCUAUUAUUAAUACUUGAAUUUAUUGAACAUUGGUGUAUUUUAUCAUAUUGCUGUUUCCGUGGCGAACGCCAUAUCAUAUUGACUAUUGUUUUUAGAGGCAGUUGGAGGAUUUUCACGUAUAGUCACUUGUACUUUCCUUCUGUUUUUCUUACAGUUUGAACAAUUACCACAAGUCACAGAUAUAUAAAAUUUGCUCUGUAGUUGUGAUAGGACACUUGGUGUUAAAUGGCGUAUACUCCAGUAUUUCAUUGUAUGUUUCACAUCACAAUUACCCUGGAGGGAAAGCAAUGCAAGAGCUACAUAGAUUAAUGCCAUUAACAGCAGCUGUAUUGAAUUUAUUGCUUUAAUAUUGCGUAAUUAUUGAAAAGUGCAAGCAUUGUGAUUAAGUUGCAUAUUUGUCCCAUAGAUGUAUCAUUACACAUCGACAUACUUGCUGCACAAAUGGGAGUCUUGCGCUUCUUGGAGCUUAAUAGUAACUGGAGAUACGACAAACAUGAGGAUUUGACUCUUGGAAGAUCCAAUUCUGAAAACAUAUACACAUCUAUUAAUGGAAGCAAAUGCAACCAAGAUAUCACUGCUCCAAGACUCUCACAAACCUUUGGUUUUCAUUGCAGGAUUCCAUAGCCUUGCAGUGGAAUUGUCCCAGUUUCCACCUCUUAGGAUAAAGCUAAACAACAAGCUUGUGCUUCUAGAAAGACUCUGAAAUACUGAACCCAAUUACCGGUAAUGGAAACUUGGACUUUUCUGAAAUUUUCAAUAAUAAACUUUGAUUAAAAUUCUAUUAACCAUUAUGUGAACAACCAAUAAACAUUCCCAAAAAAUGGUUUUCUUAAUUCUGUUGAAAUAAGGGUCUGUUUUAAUGGGGAGCCUUCUAGAGCAGCAUUUCUUAAGUACGGUUCUCAUAGCCAUAAAUGUCCAGUCUCCAGUGCUGGGUAGUUCUAAAUUGUAAUCUGUUACUGUUUAUAAAUUAUAUGACAAAAAUUUUAGACAGUUUUUAUAAUGGUAUCUGAUUGCUUUGGAUUACUUUUGGAUGACUUCAGAACUCAUUCUUGCUACCGCUCCAUCUUCAGAAUAAUUAUGGCUGGUGGUAUGGUCUGUAAAUGCAAAAUAAUAAUGUUGUUCUCUGAUACACAAAAGUAUUGGGACUGUUUAGUCACAAGAUUUUGUUUCUGUCAGGCUUCCCCUUUGUUUUACCAUGGUACUUUCUGCCACAACACCAUAGUUACUACAAUUGUAGGCCUACUAUAAAACCAUUAAAUACAUGUAAUGACUUUCAAGUGUGAAGAAGCCUUCAGAAUCUGUGUUCUAUUUCUUUGUUAGUUGUGAUUAAUACAAAGUACCAUAGUUUUAUUAUAGUAGUAACAACUGCAGUAAAUAUGGCAUUUUUGCCAGAAACUAUGGUUACCAGGGUUAAAGGAGUUAAAGAAAUAAUAUCAUAUUAAGUGGUAUUUUAUUCAGGUUCCAACUUCAUGUUUAGCAGAUUUUUUAUCAGUUCUAACAUAGACUAUAUUUAUUUUUUCCGUUUAAGACUGUGCAUGUGUGUGCAUGUUAACAUUUUCAGUUUUACUUGAAAAAUGACCAUGAUUUCUUUAAUAGUUUUCUUGACAGCAGUUGUUUUCAUCAUAAAGAGCAAAGAAAUUAACUAAAACUUAUGUCAGGAUAACCUACACAGUGAAUCAUGCAGUUACAGCUACAUUUUAAGGGUCACAUGAGGUAGAUGUAACAUUUUAACUUUUUACAGUGAAGCAAAUAUGUGGUUUUGUAAGUAUGGGUUACAAAACCCAUUUUAAAAGAGCAUUUCAUGGUUUUUAAUGACAGUGGGAACCUCGUAUGUCAUGAUGUCCCACUAAAGAAAAGUUUGUCAAAAGUCAUGGAAUUUCAUUGGUCAAUAGGUGUUGGAACCUUGGCCAUUUGUGACUCGAUUGUAGCCCUUAUUGCAGCUUUGCCAUAUGGUGUGGCAUUUUCUUGCCACCACAUUUUGUAGAGUGUAAAUAUGUUAUUACUGUGCCUCACAACGGUUCCUGCAUCAACACUGGAAAUAACCAUCACAUUAAUUAUAUUGUUGCUUUAGUUUCAGACUUUAUAAAAUACUUUUGUGUCUUUGCAUAAGAUUAAACAGAUUUAUAUUUAUAUAUAUAUAUAUAUAUAUGUGUAUGUGUUCAGUAUUCUAAAACGUGACAACACGUCAAGUACCACUAAUCCCAUUAAUAAGACUCUUUUCCCACAUUUUUUCUUAGUUUGGAUUAGAAUUCAAAUAGAUUCAGUUAUCUAAUCUAAAAGUGACAAUAAUCACAAAGAAAAUUACAUUACAGAAAGUAAGGAUUUACACAUUUCAGUGCAACUUGGUUUGAAAGGGCAAACCUUUUAUUUACAAAUAACCACAAAAAUUAAAUGGUUCCAGUCUGAAUGCUUCCUCCUUUAUCAAAUUGAAUUAAAAAAAUUAUAAAAUGUACAGUACAUUUACUUGUCCCAUAAUUGAAUCCCUUAGAUAUAAAAAGAGUUGUGCUUAAGAGACAAAUGCAUUUUCAAACAGAUUGCUCAACCUGAAAGUACAACAUUAUUUACAUUAUCAGUAAAAAAAAAAACAA